rnacentral:rRNA from 1 species
UACGUAGGGUGCGAGCGUUAAUCGGAAUUACUGGGCGUAAAGUGUGCGCAGGUGGCCGCGCAAGUCGAGUGUGAAAUCCCCGAGCUUAACUUGGGAAUUGCGCUCGAAACUACGUGGCUCGAGUGUGGCAGAGGAAGGUGGAAUUCCACGUGUAGCGGUGAAAUGCGUAGAUAUCAAGAGGAACACCUGAGGUGAAGACGGGUUGCUGGGCUGACACUGACGCUGAGGCGCGAAAGCCAGGGGAGCAAACGGG